rnacentral:rRNA from 1 species
GACGAACGCUGGCGGCGUGCUUAACACAUGCAAGUCGAACGGAAAGGCCCUGCUUUUGCGGGGUGCUCGAGUGGCGAAGGGGUGAGUAAAACGUGUGUAACCUGUCCUUGAAUUUGGGAUAACUUCAGGAAACUGGGGCUAAUAUAGGAUAGGAGAUCCUGCUGCAUGGUGGGGGUUGGAAAGAUUCGGCGGUUAGGGAUGGACUAGCGGCUUAUCAGCUGGUUGGUGGGGUAGGGGCUUACCAAGGUUUUGACGGGUAGGCGGCCUGGGAGGGUGACCGGCCACAUUGGUACUGAGAUACGGCCCAGUCUCCAACGGGCGGCAGCAGUGGAAAAUCUUACACAGUAGGCGGGAGCCAGUUGCAGCGGCGCCGCGUGCGUGAUAACCUCCUUCGGGUUAUAAACCGCUUUCUCCUGUGACGUGGCGUUAGUGACGGUAAUUAGUAAAAAAGCACCGGCUAACUACGUG